CCUACGGGAGGCAGCAGUAGGGAAUCUUCCACAAUGGGCGAAAGCCUGAUGGAGCAACGCCGCGUGGGUGAAGAAGGUCUUCGGAUCGUAAAACCCUGUUGUUAGAGAAGAAAGUGCGUGAGAGUAACUGUUCACGUUUCGACGGUAUCUAACCAGAAAGCCACGGCUAACUACGUGCCAGCAGCUGCGGUAAUACGUAGGUGGCAAGCGUUAUCGGGAUUGAUUGGGCGUAAAGGGAACGCAGGCGGUCUUUUAAGUCUGAUGUGAAAGCCUUCGGCUUAACCGGAGUAGUGCAUUGGAAACUGGGAGACUUGAGUGCAGAAGAGGAGAGUGGAACUCCAUGUGUAGCGGUGAAAUGCGUAGAUAUAUGGAAGAACACCAGUGGCGAAGGCGGCUCUCUGGUCUGUAACUGACGCUGAGGUUCGAAAGCGUGGGUAGCAAACAGGAUUAGAUACCCUUGUAGUC
rnacentral:rRNA from 1 species